rnacentral:SRP_RNA from 10 species
GCCAGGCACAGUGGCACGUGCCUGUGGUCCCAGCUACUUGGGAGGCUGAGGCAGGAGGAUCGCUUGAGCUCAGGAGUUCUGGGCUGUAGUGUGCUGUGCACUAAGUUUGGCAUCAAUAUGGUGACCUCCCAGGAGCGGGGGGACCACCAGUUUUGCCUAAAGAGGGGUGAACCAGCCCAGGCUGGAAACAGAGCGGGUCAUCAUGAGAGACUGGAAGCCCUUUUGCCAACAGAGAGGCACUUCUCAAGACCGAGAGGACAACCCCUAACUUAU